rnacentral:rRNA from 1 species
UGUGUAGGCGGUUCACUAAGUUCGACGUGAAAUCUCCCGGCUUAACCGGGAGGGUGCGUUGAAAACUGGUGGGCUUGAGUAUGGGAGAGGUAAGCGGAAUUCCUGGUGUAGCGGUGAAAUGCGUAGAUAUCAGGAGGAACACCUGUGGUGUAGACAGCUUACUGGACCAUCACUGACGCUGAGACACGAAAGCGUGGGUAGCAAACAGGAUUAGAUACCCUGGUAGUCCACGCCCUAAACGAUGCAUACUUGGUGUGAGCGAUUCAUUUCGUUCGUGCCGGAGCUAACGCGUUAAGUAUGCCGCCUGGGGAGUACGGUCGCAAGGCUGAA